rnacentral:rRNA from 1 species
GGGUCAGUAGGUUGGUCGUGCCACCGGUACGUACUGGUCUCACUGAUUCCUCCUUCCUGAAGAACCGUAAUGCCAUUAAUUUGGUGUUGCGGGGAAACAGGACUGUUACUUUGAAAAAAUUAGAGUGUUUAAAGCAAGAUAACGCUUGAAUACAUUAGCAUGGAAUAAUGAAAUAGGACGUUCGAACCUAUUUUGUUGGUUUCUAGGAUUGACGUA